CGAGCACAAAGGGACACAGUAGCAGAUCUAAGCUACAAAAAUCCAGACAACUGAGAAUUCUCCUGUUACAUCGGGCCUUUAUAUGGUUAAAUGCCAUAAAGUUAAACUUUGCUAACAAUAUGAAUCAUUUGCGUAUUUUAUUUGCAACACUUUCAUUGAUCGUCAUUGUACAAGCCAUGAAGUUCAAGACUUUGACUGACGACACAUCAAAUAUGUGUUGUAAUUUAAAAAUGCACUUUUGUUGUCCUGGAGGUAGAAAAAAACGUGAUGUAAUCUUCAGAAAUAAAGGAAGCAACGGUGAGGAUGUUGAAAGCGGAACAAUUUCAAGUAGAAAAAAACGUGACAAAAUCUUCAGGAUGUUUUUCCAAGUAAAAGACGUAGAGGGGGAUAGUAAAUAAUAACUAUUUCAGGAUGAAUUCUGGAAUUCAGAAAUUCCUUCUACCCAGUGUAAAUGUAGCUCUAAUCGUGUAGUCAUUUUUUUAAACUCUUGCACUUUUUUGUUUAACCUGUAAUUUUGUUUGCUAUUUUAAAAUAUCAUCGCUUUAAAUACACUCAAGCAGUAAAAA